rnacentral:hammerhead_ribozyme from 1 species
AUCCAGCUGACGAGUCGCAAAUAGGACAACACACUCGUCCUAGAU